rnacentral:piRNA from 1 species
AUGGCUCAGUGGGUAAGAGCAC